rnacentral:rRNA from 1 species
GACGAACGCUGGCGGCGUGCUUAACACAUGCAAGUCGAACGGAAAGGCCCUGCUUUUGUGGGGUGCUCGAGUGGCGAACGGGUGAGUAACACGUGAGUAACCUGCCCUUGACUUUGGGAUAACUUCAGGAAACUGGGGCUAAUACCGGAGAGGAGCUCCUGCUGCAUGGUGGGGGUUGGAAAGUUUCGGCGGUUGGGGAUGGACUCGCGGCUUAUCAGCUUGUUGGUGGGGUAGUGGCUUACCAAGGCUUUGACGGGUAGCCGGCCUGAGAGGGUGACCGGCCACCUUGGGACUGCGAUACGGCGCAGACUCCUACCGGAGGCAGCAGUGGGGAAUAUUGCACAAUGGCCGGAAGCCUGAUGCAGCAACGCCGCGUGCGGGAUGACGGCCUUCGGGUUGUAAACCGCUUUCGCCUGUGACGAAGCGUGAGUGACGGUAAUGGGUAAAGAAGCACCGGCUAACUACGUG